rnacentral:rRNA from 1 species
GUAGCAAUACAGGAAAGCGGCGAAAGGGAGAGGACAACAUGGGAAUCUGCCCGGGGGUCGAGGAUAGCGUCGGGAAACUGACGGUAAUACUCGAUAAUGUUUACGGACCAAAGGUUUACUGCCCCUGGAUGAGCCCAUGCCCCAUUAGCUAGUUGGCGGUGUAAUAGACCACCAAGGCGAUGAUGGGUAGCUGGUGUGAGAGCACGACCAGCCCCACUGGCACUGAGACACUGGCCAGACACCUACGGGUGGCUGCAGUCGAGAAUCUUCGGCAAUGGACGAAAGUCUGACCGAGCGACGCCGCGUGCGGGACGAAGGCCUUCGGGUUGUAAACCGCUGUCGAGGGGGAUUAAGGGCAACUUGAAAGAACCCUGGAGGAAGGAGAGGCUAAGCUCGUGCCAGCAGCCGCGGUAAGACGAGCUCUCCAAACGUUAUUCGGUAUCACUGGGCUUAAAGAGUUCGUAGGCGGCUUUACAGGUGGGGUGUGAAAGCCCUCGGCUCAACCGAGGAAUUGCGCCCCAAACCGUAAGGCUUGAGGGAUAUAGGGGUAAGCGGAACAGAUGGUGGAGCGGUGAAAUGCAUUGAUAUCAUCUGGAACACCGGUGGCGAAGGCGGCUUACUGGAUAUUUUCUGACGCUGAGGAACGAAAGCUAGGGUAGCGAACGGGAUUAGAUACCCCGGUAGUCCUAGCCGUAAACGAUGAGCACUAGUUUGAAGGACUCUCACAGUC